UGGGGCUUGGCCCUCAUUUGGAUCUGCGGCUCAGGGCAGGGCUGAGGGGGCAGGGGGCAUGGCAGGUGUCACACAGGUCUGGGGGAGCAGCAAGGGCUCAGGAGGGACCAUGGGGUUACGGGAUUCGGGGGGCUGAAGGGGCAGCAGGCUCAAGGGCAGUUCAGAUCUAGCUUUGGGAUGGGGACAGGCCUGGGGAGCACUGGGGAGUAAUACACAUGUGGGCAGGAAGCAGAGGUUCAGAGUUCGUGGGCUCAGGGGGACUGGGGUGCUGGGCACAAGGCGGGGUCAGAAGGGCCUGAGGGUCAGGGCAGGCCUGGGGGCCGCAGGACGGAUGGAAGGUGGUCAGACAGGGCUGAGGGCCAACAGAAUGUCAAGGUGAACUAUGGGGUCAUGGAGGGAUGUGGGGGCAGGCACAAUGCAGGGCUUGGAUCCAGCCUUGGGGUGAGGUCAGGGCUGAGGGUCAGCAAGGUGGGGCAGGGGGUGAUCACAGAUGGCGAGGCAGCAAGGGCCAGGGGAAAGAGGGUGCUGGGGCAUGAUAGGCACAAGGAGAGGGUCAGAUCCAGCCAGGGCCUGGGGGUGGGGCAGGGCAGGCCUAGGGACAUGCCACCACCAGGGUAGAAGAGGUUGACCUACGCCCUGUCCCAGGAUGCCCCAGGGAGGGGGUGCAUGUAUGACAUCCCACUCCCCAGUUCUUCACCUCCUCUCCAGUCUCCAUCUUACACACCCACGAGCAAUCUCACUCCCCAAACCACCCUCAUCUCCCGGAGUAAAGGGUGCAAGGGCACCUCAGCACCCCCAGCUGAUCCCCACUCCAUCCUUGCCCCCCGGGAACACCACCUGGAAUGGGCCGGGCCCCUGGUUCAGGGCUGAUCCAGCAGGUAUAUCAUCUGUGAGACACAAGCCGGGUGCCUCAGCAGCCCCCAAGACACACUCUCGCCUUUCCAAGGCCAAACUGCCACCACAGUCGGGAAAAGAGGCCUCAAAAUGAAUAAAGAUAGGUCUUGUUCCAGCUGGAAUGAAGCAAUUCCACUGCAGUUCGUUCGGCUCAUUGCAGGCAGCAGGAGCAGGACCCACAGCGCUGCGGGUGUUGCACCCGCUCGCUCCAAGGCUGAAUCAGCUUUCCUAAAAGCAAACAAGCAGGAGAGGAUUGUUGGGAGAGGAAGUGGCCAGGCCUGUCCGAGGGGAGGCAGGCGCGGAUUAGCAAUGGGAGCGGAGGUUCCUGGAGCUCGAUAAAGGAUUUGCCAGGGCUGGGAACACAGAGGGAGCUCUGUCCUCUCCCCUUCACUACGUGACAUCGAGCGAUUUAUGACCGAACUGGAGCCGACUAGUUUGGCAAAAGAGACGUGGAGAGGAGCCGGCAGAGCAUCGCGGAAAAACUGCUCCUGCAAGGUGAUGGGGGAAAUUGUGUUAUUUUGAAAUUGCUAAUUUAUUGUACUUUGUUAAGAUGCUGCAGCAAAUGGCUCUGGGAGUGCUGCCUGCUUGUGCAAGCUGCUUUUCCUGUGCUUUAAUCUGCUUUUCUUUCAGUACAAGAGCCACUCCAAUUUCAGCUUCUGCUCUGUAAGUCACAUUUUCAGCAUGAUUAGUGGUAGGAAUUUGUAAAAUAAAUAAUUAAAUAAAUAGUUGUUUGUGUCUGUAUUGGGUUGUGUUUUUAAAGAAAAAAUCCUGGAGUAAAUAUUCCAUCAGCUGGUAGCUAAUUACAGCCAUUUAGGGAACGUUAAUUAGGACCACUUGCAGUGAACAUUGUUCAAGGAGGUUUAAAUUUCAUUAGUGCAUUUCAGUUUGAUUUUGGGUGGAGAGAGGAGGAGUUGUGGAAGCUGUUACACCUAAUAAAGGGAUUGACUUACUGAACCCUCUAGCUCUUCCGGACUCCACUGCCCUAAGAAACACCUCCAACUCCAAAGGGAGCAGUUCACCUUCUCAGAGUGGACACCAGAAUUGGACACCAGUAGCAAGCAAUCUAUGUGCUUGAUGGGGCCCUUCCUCGUCCUUGUCCAUACAUUGCUAAGGACUGCAUUGCCAGCAGGACCAAAUUCCCAGGGAGAGCCUCCUGAAGAAUCCACUACAGCCAGGAAUGUUUUUGUAGACAUCCCUUGAUGCACCACUGAGUUCCAGGCCUGUCAGAGGGCCCAUGGCCCUGGGCUCUGCUGGGUCAGGCCAGAACAGAAGGUGGUGACAUCUGAUAAGGAACAGAUGAACUCAGGUUGCACUGUCCUCCUCCUGUGACUCCCCCUCUCCUGCCCUGCACCCCUCUGAAAUAACUGGGGUUUCUCUUCUCACUCCCCAAUUCGGGACUGGGGCACAUCCCCUUCAGCACAUCCUGUAAAGGCAGCCCUUGUGUUCUGCAGUGAAAAUGCUCUGCUCCCUCAGCUCUGCUCCUGCAUGUCCAGAAGCUCACCCUCGCUGCAGUCAUAUCCUUCCUGACACUCCUCUGCUGCACACUGAAUUAUGGUCCUCUCCACCUCCAUCCUCUGAAGAGCUUCUCAGAGCAACACUUCCAGCUUCAAUUUCUUUUCCAAGAUGCCAAAAUUGCACCUCACACCAGACAUGGCAGCUGGUCCCUUUGUGGCACAGAGAGGGAAGGAAUCAACAAGUUGUAACUGUAUUUAUGGCUGUAAGCAGGAAUUUCAGAGCAGCCUUUAAGGAUCCCACUUGCUGUCAGCAGAGUACAGGGAGGUACAAAGGAUUUUUAGAAAACUUUGUCAGAUAACAGUAGGAAGGAAGUUACUGGAUAAACUUCCCAGUGAUCUCAGAACUUUUUCCUCCUACACUUCAUCAGGACACAGCUCUGAACAGAGAUGCACUGCACAGCCCAGCCUGGUACAACACUUCCAACUGUGAUGUUCCAGUGAGAUUGUGUUUACUGGAACAGCAAAGGUCUCUCAGGUUGCUUAGUGAGAAUUACCGUAUAAGGAAAUACUGUGUCUUGAAGAAGUCUAUAAACCCAUCUUGUUUCUUUGAAUAAAUGAUUCUGAUUCCUUGCUGGUCUGAGUCCGUGCCUCAGUUGUUAAAAAUGGCAUCCCAAAUGGGGACUUGAUAGGCAACAAGUGGUUGCACCAGUAGCAAUGCUCAGCUGAACUUUACAGGUGGCUGAAAUGAAGCCUGGGAGCUGAAAUGAAGCUCGUGGUGCCAAUCAACUUUUCUGCAAGACUGAAGGUAGCAGCUGAGAACAAUGGAGGAUGAACAGAACAUUGCAGAGACGUUAGAAGAGAUUUUUAAAAAGCAUGUCAGGAAAGUUGAAUCCAGAUUUGGAUGGAUUCUUCUUCUGGGCAAAAGACUAGGAUUCAACUUUAGAUGACACCAAUAUUUUUGAUCCUCAGACACAGGACACUUUUGGGCAUGCAUUGUGGGACAGAGUUAUGCAAGUCAAUGCAGCACUGACAAAGCUUUCGCGUCCGUGGUGAACAGUGUGCAAGGCACUCAUGGUGCAUGGACAAUGAAGGGCACUUGUGCCACUGCAGGAGCCUUGCUGACCCCUUCUGCACUGCCCGCAAAUGACUGUAAGUCUGUUGGGGCUGAUGGAGGAGAACCAGAAGAUGGCUUCUGGUUCCCCAACCCAUUUGAUCCCGGAGGGGACCCUGAUGGUAUCCUAGAAGUGCUUGCUCUGCCCUGUGCCAUCAGGUGGAGCCAUGUUGUGGUGAGCAGCUGGAGCCAGGUGGGCCAUUCAUGGUACCUGUUCCCUCUCUGUGUGCCCUCUGCAAGAGUGUGGCAGCAGCAGCAGCAGCCGCAGGGCGUGGGCAGCUGCAGGGGCACGGCGCUGUAGCGGCGGUGGUGAGCGCAAGGCGCCAAGCACAUGGUGGCGGGCACAUGGCAGGGCUCUGCCAUGCUGGCGGGCACAUGGCACAGCCAGGGGAUGGCAGCAAACGCUGCGCUGGUGACAGAGCAGAGCCGGUGGGACGGGAGCAGCUCUCUGUAUGUGGGCAGUAAGAAGGGGACCCAAGGAGCCUGGUGGCACUGGCAGGUGCAGUGCCACGUCCCUGCUCCCUGCACAAGGCAGGGGGUGCCCAGGGGGACUGGGCCGCCACCUUCUGCAGGGGUGGCUGCAAGCUUGGGAUAAAGUUCCUGCUGCUGGUCUGUGAAACUGUCCUGGUUUUGUUUCUCAGAAUGUUGCCACAAUCCUGGAGCCUAUCUCAAAGACUGCUUUUUUACCACACCACCUUGUGACCCCUUGGAUUGUUCCAAUUGCUUUUUGUUAUGGAUGCUCCUGUAUUUUUAAGUAUUUUUUUGCUCUUGUUAAAAACUAACUUUAUAUUUUCACUAAGCUGUAGGUUUUAACGUGACUGUUAAUUAGAUUAAAGGUUAACUGGGUGAUGGUAGUAUAUUUCUGGAUCCAGACAGCAUUAAUACACAGAGUUUUUAGGAAGGCCUUUAGUUGUGAGAUAAUUAUUUAAUGUUACUUAUAUGCAUUCUUUUGGUUACAUUAAUAAAGGUUUGCUUGUACAUAUCUUGGGGAAACCCUCCCAGUCAAGGCUUGGGCCCUGGCCUAGCCCUGGCCCUGGCUGGUUAGGGAAAUAUACCAUCAGACCCAAGUGUUUCUGCACUAGAAAUGUAAUCAAUUCAUUUUGACUUGCUGAUUUGGUCUCAUAAAAGCUGGACCCCCUUUUGAGGCAAACGUAGAAACCUUGUCCAGGAAAAGUUUUCCAGGUCCUCACUGUGGAAUGGGUCUCUGUGGUAGCAAACAGCAGGCCUGUAUAAGGUCUUGCAGGCUGAAUCCUACCUUGGUCUAACAUAGCUGUGAGAAAGCUAACAUCUCUUCAUGAAAACAGAAACCUGUAACGGCAAAAACCAACUUGUUUCCCUGCAAAAUAAUUCUACAGAUUAGGACUGUUUUCUUGCACCCAUUUCAACAAUCCCAACCAUCUCAGCAAAGGAAUAAAACAGUAUCUCACAAACAACCCUUUCUUGGAUGUAGACACCUUGUUCAAGACUGACCAAUUACUAUGGAGUAACAGCUUAUUACUGACCAAUAGGGGAGAGACAUAGGAGGGUUUAUAAAACUAUAUAAAGGGAUAUAUAAAAUAAAGUGGUAGAUUUUUUCACAUCUUAAAAGAGUGUGUCUUAUCUCUCUGAAAUGAGGUCAACAGCAACAGGGCUCUCCAGUGAUGUCAGACUGUGGGUGAUGGUAAAGUAGUUAGGCAGUUAAAGGUAUUAUCUGGCUUAUUUUUGCUCAGUAGUGCUUGUUGUUUUUUAGAUGCACUGUUUUACUGGGUUGAAACAUGUUCAUGUUAUAGUUGUUAAAACAAAAAAGAGGGAGUGUGGGGAUGGGCUAUAUUCCCCACAAAGGCCUCACAUGUUCUUAAUUUUUACAAUCACAUUCAGAAUGACCUAACUGCAGUCUAACAACAUUUUUGUGAAUCACAAGCUCACUCAGACUUACUAAGAAUCUUGAAAGUAGAAAAUGGGAAGGACCCUUUCCAUUGAUAACCUGGGGACAAAGUUAUGCUUGUGUUUUCACAGAUUCCAGUCCAUGAUGGGUACCUGCAAGAGUGAUUCAACCAGCCUUGGUUGUUCUGGCUUUAUCAUCAGCUUGUGGGGAAGCUGAGAGAACAAGAGGAAUGGAGCUUGUUUGGUUUGGGUUGUGGGCCAAUGUUGGAAUGUUCUAAUGUUGGGAGUGUUUCGUUUAGUGAUUCUUGUUUGUAUAAAGCAAAAAAGAGGGAAUUGUGGUCAGAGACAGGAUGGAGUUGAGCUGCAGGCCAUGGCACGCACCUGCAGGAGCACACUGGAGCACAAAGAAGCACAUGGCAGCACAGAGAGGCUUGUCUCUGCCUGACCCUGGGGCAGGAGGUGCCACGUGGCAGAGCCCUGCAGAGAGGAGCUGCCAGAAGCUGACAGAUGGGUGAACAGCCAUGGCCACUCCACAGAAGGAUUUUAAGAAAGUGUUUUGCUGACGUGGUGUUGGUUGAUAGGUUGCUUAGUGAGAAUUACCGUAUAAGGAAAUACUGUGUCUUGAAGAAGUCUAUAAAACCAUCUUGUUUCUUUGAAUAAAUGAUUCUGAUUCCUUGCUGGUCUGAGUCCAUGCCUCAGCUGUUACACAUAAUAACAUUCUACCUUACAGGGCUUUGGAAAGCCUUAUUUAGACAAACUGCUCUAAGAUGAGUGUAAGAGGAAAAUCCAAACAACAUCCUAUUGUAAAGCCAGAGUUACUGCACACACUUUUUUCUAAGUAUAUUCAGCCUCUUUGUGAAUGUCUGCAAAUGCAUUCCAACCUUCCUAACGAGGCUCAUCUCAGUAGGGAAGAAGUCACUUGCAAUUGUGGAAAAGUCAAGAUUUAAUUUUCUGUGUAACCUCCAUUGACCUCUUCACAUCCACUAUUGGCAACGAAUGUGGAAAAACCUAUGUGACUGUGUAAUUACAGAGUGCAGUGAGGUGGCCCUGCCCAGGUACUGCUCCCCAGGUGAGGGGGAUGUGCAGCAUGCCUUGAGCUUGGUCCCAGGAAUGAACAAGGAGUCUGAGGGGAGAUCAGGCAAUUUAAUCUCCAAAUGAGGAAAGCCACAUCCAGUGACCCCAGGGAAAGGUGGCACCUCUCUCGUUACACCUGAGCAGAUCCCCUCGUGUUCCACACACAGCACAGAGGUGUGUGCCUGGCCCGUGCAACCACGGACUAUCAACAGCAGCUUCCCUCUUCCCAGGAACUGAAAGUAAGUUUCAUAUUCCAAAGAUCUGGCAAUCCCCCAGAACUCCCUAACUUCCACAUAACAGGAAAUUACAAGAGCUACGAGUGUCCUUAACCAAAGAUAACCUGAAUACAGCAGUCACGCUCCACCCCAAAAUCAAGAUGCUGAUCCCAUGCUAUGUUUGUACUUGCAGUGAAGGCUUUUUCGGUUUAAUACAGUUUAGAACAGCAGGGUUCAAACCUCACCAGGAUUUUCUUCUUUCCUGGAAACUGCCAACAGGCUGGGAGCUGCUGGCAGGUGCUGACAUGUAAGACUUGCCAGUGAGCUUUGCCAUCACUGCUUUCCAACUGCUGCCAUUUCCUGCUCAUCCCACUGUGGGUCAAAGACCAAGAAUAAAAGCCUUCACUGGCAUGAAAACUGCCAUGCCAUACAAUCCCUGGGCAGGAGGGAAAAGCAGAGGCACACAUGGCUCAGAUUCCCUUGUCCUUCCCUGCCUGUGUUCCAGCCAAGUGUCCAGGCCUGGCUCAUGCUCUUCUGACUCAUGCUGUAUCCUAUUUAGUUCAGAUUAGCACUCAGGGCUGCCUACAAAGGUAAUUUCCUGCAAUGUGUCCCACUUUUUAAGCAACACAAGCUCCCAUUCAGCCAGACAGCCACACAAAGGAACUUAUGGCCUUCAGCAAGAGCUAAAACCACAAACUCCAGAGCUUUGCUGGUUAAGCACAGAGCUGACAACUCCUUUCCUCCAGAGCACCUCACUUUGCAGGAGGGUCCUCAAAAAAAUACCACCUAAUCAUCAUUUUCCUGGUAAUUUCUGAAACAAUUUUCUGGUAAUUGCCCUGAAACACAGUUAUAAUCAGAACUUCUGUUGAAGUCAGUGUCUAGGGGCACUACACACAAGAAUGUGUGCCAGGCACCCCCAUCAAGGAAGAGAAAUAGUAACAAUAGCAAAAAUGGUCCUGAUUGUGGCAUUCCCUCUCAUGGAUUUAUUUUUUCCAAUAUGGCAAUAAACCAAAAAUGGUGGCACUUCUCUGACUGACAUCAGAUCCUGCUGACUGAUCAGAACAAAGACUGCAUGACUCAGUUUCCCUUCAUCUGUGUUUACAGAGAUGGAAGGAUGGUCCCCAAAUCCUGUAAUAACUUGAUCCCUGCAGCCCCAUCCUCACUUCUAGGCAGUAAAAUCUGUGCAUCUUUCAGCAGUGCUCAGGAAAAACAGUAAAGUUCAGUUUGGGGCUGCAAUUCCUGUAGGGAAUCCAGUGGGGACAAGCCAGAGUUCAUCCCAAUGCCAAUGACAGCAAGAAGCUCUUCCAGCUUUUUUUAUGAUGCAGUGCCAAAAGCUGCUGGUGUGUGCUCAAGGAGGUUUCCUCUGCUCACACUUCUAUUGAAAAUAAUCAGGUUUUAUCCCAGAGCUCUAGAACUCACUGCAGAUUAGAAAUAGAGGUGGCAUACUCAAAGAAGGUAGAGCAGAAUUAUUUGGGAGAGAAGAUAAUUGUGUCUGAUCUCACAUACCCCUGGUCAAAGAAUUUUUUGACGACCAUUGUUAUAACAAUCCAAAUCACUAUGGAUGACUGCUGUUGCUGUCAGGAAGAUAAGGUGAAAGCUCUGAUUUGCAGUGGAAUUUAGAUUUUACUCUGUUUUGAAGUGAUAGCAUCAGAAAUACUCCACAGCCCCUUGUUCACAUCACCUCCCCUGUUCCAUCCUGCCUCCCAAUUCAUAGCCUGUCUGUGAAACCACAAUGCUCUGAGAAUGAUGUACCUGGGGAGGCAAAAGCUUCUUUGCCCUUCACUGGAGCCAGUGAAGGGAGCCCUCAGCACCACAGCUGGAUCAAAGUCCUUUCUGAAGGACUAGCUCCAAGUCCAAAUCAAAGUCACAGGCUUGACAGUAUUAUCCCUACAUGAAAGGAUUAUGUGAGGUGUCACAACAGGUGAUGAUAAAGUUCCCUUCCAGUCAAAACAUUCUAUGAAUCUCCAAGGGAAUUCACCAUCUUCUGGCAAGACUGAGGACCAGAUUUUCCAAAGUGUAACAAUGCCUGGCUCCAAGAUCGCUCGGGCAGCGCAUGUGCAAACUAUGAAAUCAUCUUUUCUGCUUGGGAGGUUCAUCAGGCCACACUGGCAUUGCCUGUAGGCCACAGACCACAAGACUUGGAAUGCUGGAAACAAAACCAGAGCAGAAAUGCUUAGGAAGGCUUUAGAGUUAACGUUACUCUGCUAAGGAAGAGGGGAAAAAAAACCUCCCAAAACACUAAUGGCACUUAACCUGUCUUUUCAGCAUGGUAAAAGUCAACGUGGAAAUUUCCUUUGAACAUGCUGGAAAGCUUGAGCAAGCCGGACUGCUCAGCAGGCACAAAGCAGGAAUGGCAGAAGCUGCUGCAAGUCAGAACCAAGGUACUUGAGCAGAGGUGUGUGGGAGGCAAGGCCUGGAGUGGCAGGAGAACAGCAGCUUCUGAGAGAGAGGAGCUGGCAGGGAUUAGUUAAGGAAGCUCAAACAGUAUCUGUCUGUACGAGGCCUGGCUCAAUUCAAGGGCAUUAACUUGUUGCUUUCUGAACACCACUGAGACGACAGGAAAUAAAAGCACGUCUGCCCAGCAUGGGCCCUACUGAGUGACUGCUUAAACACUCCAGCAGAACUAAGAACAUUAAGAAAGGCAAAGAGCAACUUCAAUGGCUCCAGGCUCACAGGGCUGCAAGUUUUUCCUUGAAGUCCAAGUUAAAACCGGGCAACUGGGAUACAGCCUUGAAAGCGCAAACAAAUAAGCCUUCAUUUUCUCCCAUUCAGGAGUUUGAAUUUAAAGGGGGGUCUAUCAACUUACAUAAAUUGUGUUUAUAAUUAAAAACAUAUUUUCCUGCAUUGCUUACAAGCCUUUGGAUGAUUAAAUUAUAAGGCAUUUUUCAAAUUACUUUAAUUCACUCUAAUUAUGCUGAUUGUGUACCUUAAUAAUUUUUCCUUGCAGGGAGAUAAAGCUACCCCAGGAGGAGGUCUUCCUUCAGGGACCAAGAGGGAAAGGACCCCAGGGAAUUGCCUGAGGAUUCAGGAACACAGAGGAGGUUUGACACUGAGGAAGUUACAUGAGCGAUGUCAGGUCUAAUGCUCACAGGGCUCUUGCUAAGCCUGACUCUGCACCUGGAUAAGCUGAGACUUCAGCUUGCUCACCUGCUGCCAGAGGAUUUGAGCUGUGUUUUGCCUAGACCUUGGCUGAGGCCUCAGCCUUGCCAGGGAAUCAGACUUUAUAAGUUUAGCAUGAAAACACAGCAGUGACUGCAGAGCUUCUGGGGUGGGUCAGGCUUGUGCUUGGCAGAGGCCAAAUAGGAAUCUUUACCUACUGGAUUCCCAGAGGACAAGAGCUGACAUAACCACCACUGGACCUUCAGAGGAAGACCAGACCCUUCUACAGCACCACUGCUUCAACAGAACCACAUCUAUCACCUCAAAGGACUGCAGUCACCAUUUAACGGGACUAUCACCACCAUGACCAACAGGGUGUCAGGUUGUAUCCUGGCUCUGUCAGGUUAAGCCGGUGUUUCUUGCCUUUAUUUACCUUCCCUAUUAAAUUGUAGCUCUGACCUGAGAUCUCCCAUUGGUUUGUUUUCAAACUAGCACAGCCUCUCUCCUCUGGUUCAAGAUAGCAGUUAUUUCAUAAUCUAUGUGGCUCUAGAGGUGAAAAUGUCAAGCUCCAAAUACAAGUGUCUGGCAAACAAAAUACAGGGGAACCGUGCUUCAGCCAGCAGGACACACACAACACAUCUUGAUGCUUCAGGUACUAAAAUAAGGCAAGAGAUACCAGCCAAGGCUUUUUCUUCUUCAACUAAAGGUCAGACACUAGUGAGACUUGUAACAGGAGAAAACUGUAAUUCCCUAAGGGUGGCCCAGGCUCACACAAGCACAUGAGGUUUUUGGUGGGAUAUGAGGUUGUAACUGCUAAACUGCUGAAGUUGCUCAGGUUAUGCUCACCAGAAGGCCCUGUGGGAAAGGCACAGCUGCAGGCCGGACCGGUGGGAGUCGGUUGAGGGCUGAGAGGCAGCUAUGAGUGAGGAGAGAGUCAGCUGAGCGACAGCUCAGUGUGAGGUUGUGAUUGGCUGGAGGAACACACGGACAGUGUGUGAGUGGGAAGCUGAUUGGCUGAAGGAACAUGUGGUUAGUGUAUGCGCAGGAAGCUGAUUGGGUGAUAGGAUGUGCGGACAGCAGCGCUGCCUCUGAGCCAGCCAAUGGGUGCCCUCUUUCUGUUAAGUUCUGUUAGGCCUGGGUUUGGUUUCAGUUAUGUCAGGUGGAGAUUAAAGGUAUAAAAAAGGGCGAUUUCUACCAUAAAGCAAUCUCCUUUGGAUGCAUAAGGGGGUCCAUGUCACUUUGUUCCCCACUGCUACAGUCUUUGCAAGCACGAUUUACAUUAAUCAAACCAACACUGAAAAGCAUGAAACUUAUUCUAAUAUCUGUCGUACCACACUCUAAAAAUAACAGAAGAAAACAAGCUGAGCUAAAAGGCUUUUGCUGUCAAAGACAGGGAAAUCCCUUCUGCAAGCCACAGUGUUGGCAUCCUCUUAAGAAAUUAAACAAGAGUGCAAAAAUUAAACCUCCUGGAGAUUUCAGAUUAAAGAAAGUGUCUCAUGUGUUUUGGUUUAGCACAUCACCAAGGCAGGGUAGUUUGUGACCUGUGAGCUGCAGCCAGUAGGAAAAGCAGGUAAUUAUUUAUAAACCCUGGUCCUGUUAGCUGCUUCUGAUCUGCUGCACUCUGAAGGUGCCCUAAAAUCGGCAUCAGCAGCAAACUUCUGAAAACCUGAACCCUGCCUGAGAGUAAUUUAUAGCAUCUGAGCUAUUAUUUGCUGAUUCCCUGGGAGGACAUUCUUGUGGACAAUGAGGGCAGAACAGCAUCAUUUGCUUUCUCCACACCUUGAAUCAUCUAGGGAAAGCUGGUACAGAGAGACUCACAUAGUCUCAGUUCCUGCCUUCAGAUCAAUGUAUUUUAACUCAUGGAUUGGCACACACCUGAAUGACUAGGAAAUAGCUGCACAAGAUAAGCUGGCCAAGGGAUUCAUAUCAGUGAGCAGUUGCAGAGAAGAGCAGGUUUAUCCUUUGUAUGCUUGUUGCCAACACAAGAGUACACAAGACAGAGAUAAGGUCAGAGCUCUCCUGUUUCAUAUGGAAAUCCAGAGUAUGAGCAAGUAGCUACUCAACUUGCUCAGCUGCUGUAAGACACCAUGACCAUCUCUUAGAAUAAAACCAUAAAUAAUUUUUAAAACGCAGACCAGUAGCAUGACACUUAAAGGGCAUCUUCUCAAGCCUGUGCUCUUCAACAUCCACAUUAAUGACCUGGAUGCAGGACUUGAAGGAAUACUUAGGAAGUUUGCUGUCUGCACUGAACUGGGAGGAGCUGUCAAGUCUCUCAGGGGCAGAGAGGGCCUCCAGAGAAACCUUGACAAAUCAGAGAAAUGGGCAUCACCAAUUGUGGGAAGUUCAACAGGGGAAGUGCUGGAUGCUGCAUGUGGGAAGGGGCAAGCCUCGAUGUGUGGGUGGACUGGGGAAUGAGGCUGAGAGCGGCUGAGGAAGGGACUUGGGAGUCUUGGUCCAUGGCAAGUUGAACAUGAGUCAGCAGCGUCCUGGCACCAGGAAGGACAUCUGUGUCCUGGGGCAUUAGGUAAAGCAUUCCUGGUCAGGCAGGGGAUUGUCCUACUCUGCUUUGGGGCAGCCCCACCUCCAGUGCUGGGGGCAGUUUUGAGCACCACAAUAUAAAGAAGACAUUAGGCCAUGAGAGACCAUCCAAAGAAGGGCCAUGAGAAUGGUGAAGGGCCUUGAGGGGAAGCCAUAUGAGGACUGGCUGAGGGCACUUGGUCUAUUCAGCUGGAGGAGACUGAGGUCAGACCUCACUGGGAUCUUCAACAUUCUCCUGAGGGAUAGCAGAGGGGCAGGAACCAAUCUCUUCACUCUCCUGACCAGGGAUAGGACUUGAGAAAAUGGUACAGCUGUGUCCAGGGAGGAUUAGGCUGGAUAUCAGGAAAAGGUUCUUCCCAGAAAGGGUGGCUGGGCACUGAACUGGUUCCUCAGGGAAUGGGUCACCGCCCAAAGUUU